UUUUUUCCUUCUCUUUCCCUCUCCUCCUCGCUCAUCCUCCUCCGCUUUCCUUUGUUCCCAGAGGCCGGCCCCAGUGUGGUUUCCGUUGUGCUUGGGAGCAGUCGCGUAGUCGCCCGUGUCCAGCUCCUUCUUUGUUCUUUGUUCCGAAAUCGGUCUUCUUCUUCUUCGGACCCCGAACGUCGCCUCACGCUUCCUGCCUUCGUCAAAGGGCCUCCUUUCGUUCGACACAUUGGGGGGAAACACGGAAUUCGGCGGCGCCGAGCUAGGAAGCCGGCCUCUACGAACUCAAACGUUUCAUCACUCUCUGACGCACGGAAGAAAAGAAAAAAAGAUAUGUGUAUGGCGUAAGAACGUUCGGUGCAUCUUUAAUGUAGGGCGCUAAAGAUUGUCUUUUUGUGCAGCGCAAGAGCGAGUUGCACGGCUGGCCCUCCGUUUCAAGUGACCUCCUUCAGCUGCGGAUGACCUGUGCUUAAUCAAGACCGCUUGAAUGGCAACUGAGAACUUGCUCCAAGCAAAAAGUGUUUUUAUGAAAUCGUGUUAGCUCGUGCGAAUUCACUGAAUAGGAACAAGUGUGUUUUCAUCGAGACAGCUCGUCCGGAAACUUGCAUUGUCGGCCUAAUAAAGUUUGACGUCAAGCCUAAUAAAACGUGAGGUUAAAACGGAGAAA